GAUGAACGCUGGCGGCGUGCUUAACACAUGCAAGUCGAACGGAAAGGCCCAAGCUUGCUUGGGUACUCGAGUGGCGAACGGGUGAGUAACACGUGGGUGAUCUGCCCUGCACUUCGGGAUAAGCCUGGGAAACUGGGCCUAAUAUCGUAUAGGACCACUUCUUGGAGGUUGUGGUGGAAAGCUUUUUCGGUGUGGGAUGAGCGCGCGGCCUAUCAGCUUGUUGGUGGGGUAAUGGCCUACCAAGGCGUCGACGGGUAGCCGGCCUGAGAGGGUGUACGGCCACAUUGGGACUGAGAUACGGACCAGACUCCUACGGGAGGCAGCAGUGGGGAAUAUUGCACAAUGGGCGCAAGCCUGAUGCAGCGACGCCGGGUGGGGGAUGACGGCCUUCGGGUUGUAAACUGCUUUCGCUAGGGACGAAGCGCAAGUGACGGUACCUAGAGAAGAAGCACCGGCUAACUACGUG
rnacentral:rRNA from 1 species